GAUGAACGCUAGCGGCAGGCUUAACACAUGCAAGUCGAGGGGUAUUGGUUUUCGGACCAAGAGACCGGCGCACGGGUGCGUAACGCGUAUGCAAUCUACCUUUUGCAGAGGGAUAGCCCCAGAGAAAUUUGGAUUAAUACCUCAUAGUAUAGUACUUUGGCAUCAAGGAACUAUUAAAGUCACAACGGCAAAGAUGAGCAUGCGUCCCAUUAGCUAGUUGGUAAGGUAACGGCUUACCAAGGCUACGAUGGGUAGGGGUCCUGAGAGGGAGAUCCCCCACACUGGUACUGAGACACGGACCAGACUCCUACGGGAGGCAGCAGUGAGGAAUAUUGGACAAUGGGCGCAAGCCUGAUCCAGCCAUGCCGCGUGCAGGAUGACGGUCCUAUGGAUUGUAAACUGCUUUUAUACAGGAAGAAACACUCCGACGNGUCGGAGCUUGACGGUACUGUAAGAAUAA
rnacentral:rRNA from 1 species